ensembl:lncRNA
ACGUAAUCUACCUCAACUUCAGCAACGUUUUUGACACUGUCUCCCACAGCAUUCUCCUGGGGAAGCUGGCAGCCCAUGCCUGGCACGAGUACAUUCUUUGCUGGGUAGAAAACUGGUUGGAGGGAUGGGCCCAGAGAGUGGUGGUGAAUGGAGUUAAAUCCAACAGGUCACAAGUGGUGUUCCCCAAGGGCUGGUAUAGUAGCUGGCCCUGGUUAAUAUCUUUAUUGAUGAUCUGGAUGAGGGAAUUGAGUGUACCUUCAGUAAAGAGGUGCAGGUGGCACUGAGGUGGAAGGAAGUGUUGAUCCACCUGAGGGCAAGAAGGUCCCACAAAGGCACCUGGACAGGCUGAUCUCUGGGCUGAGGCCAAUGGGAUGGAGUUCAACAAGACCAAGUGUUGGGUCCUGCAGUUUGGUCACAACAACCCCACACAUUGCUACAGGCCUGGGGCAGGGUGGCUGGAAGGCUGUGCAGAGGAAAAGAAUCUUGGGGUGUUGGUUGAUGCUUGGCUCAAUGUCGGCCAGCAGUGUGCCCAGGUGGCCAAGAAGGCCAACAGCAUCCUGGUGUGUAUCAGAAACAGUGCAGCCAGCAGGACAGGGAGGUGAUCGUCCCCUGUGCUCAGCUGUGGUGGGGCCGCACCUCGAGUGCUGCGCUCAGCUGUGGGCCCCUCACUGCCAGACAGACAUCGGGGCCUGGAGCGUGUCCAGAGAGGGGCAAUGGGGCUGUGAGGGGUCUGAGCACAGUGGGGUCUGAUGGGGAGCGGCUGAGGGAACUGGGAUGGUUCAGUGUGGAGAAGAGGAGGCUCAGGGGAGACCUCAUUGCUGUCUGUAACUCCCUGAAGGAGGUUGUGUGAGGUGGGGGUCGGCCUCUGCUGCCCGGUAACAGCAACAGAAGGAGAGGCGAUGGCUUUAAGUUGUGCCAGGGGAGGCUCAGGUUGGAACUUAGGAAGAAUUUAUUCUCAGAAAGAGAGGUGAUGCAGUGGCACAGACUGCCCAGGGACGUGUUGGAGUCGCUGUCCCUGGAGGCGUUCAAGUACGGCGCUGAGGGACGCGCUUUGGUCCGCGCGGCUUUCCGGCUGCACUCCGUGACCUUGGAGGUCUCUUCCAAUCUCAACGGCUCUGAGCGCCCGCGCCCCCUCAACGCUUUAAAGCGGCGGUCCGGCAGGGGGCGCCCGCACGCAGUCGUCUACCGCGCGCAUGCGCACAGCCGCAGUUUCCCGCUCCCUCAGGCUCAGAGCCCGGCGGGCGCCGCGCGGGGGCGCUCGGGCGGUGGGUGGGGCUGCGCGCGAUG